AACGAACGCUGGCGGCAUGCCUAACACAUGCCAGUCGAACGAGACCUUCGGGUCUAGUGGCGCACGGGUGCGUAACGCGUGGGAACCUGCCCUUAGGUUCGGAAUAACUCCCCGAAAGGGGUGCUAAUACCGGAUAAUGUCUUCGGACCAAAGAUUUAUCGCCUUUGGAUGGGCCCGCGUUGGAUUAGCUAGUUGGUAGGGUAAAAGCCUACCAAGGCGACGAUCCAUAGCUGGUCUGAGAGGAUGAUCAGCCACACUGGGACUGAGACACGGCCCAGACUGCUACGGGAGGCAGCAGUGGGGAAUAUUGGACAAUGGGCGAAAGCCUGAUACAGCAAUGCCGCGUGAGUGAUGAAGGCCUUAGGGUUGUAAAGCUCUUUUACCCGGGAUGAUAAUGACAGUACCGGGAGAAUAAGCUCCGGCUAACUCCGUG
rnacentral:rRNA from 1 species